GGAGCCGCUACAGGCUCUCAUGCCUCAGCCGGAUCGCCAGGCUCCCCUGCCUCAGCCAGCUCCCCUGCCUCAGCCAGCUCGUCGGGCUUUCAUGCCUCAGCCGGAUCGCCAGGCUCCCCUGCCUCAGCCAGCUCGUCGGGCUUUCAUGCCUCUGCCGGAUCGCCAGGCUCCCCUGCCUCAGCCAGCUCGUCGGGCUUUCAUGCCUCUGCCGGAUCGCCAGGCUCCCCUACGUCGGGGAGGGGGUACUGUCACGUAUACUCCCUCUCCGGCCUCUAGGUCAUCAGGCUGUUAAUUAUCCCGCACACCUGUCACCAUUGUCAAGCGCCUCAUGACACCCACCUGGACUCACCUCCUUGAUUAUCUUCCCUAUAUCUGUCACUCUCCUUGGUUCUUUCCUCGGGUGUUGUUGACUCUGCUUCAUGCCGGUGCGUUGUUUGUGUUUGGUGUUUGUUUUGUUUAUACAGUUGAAGUCGGAAGUUUACAUACACUUAGGUUGGAGUCAUUAAAACUUGUUUUUCAACCACUCCACAAAUUUUUUGUUAACAAACUAUAGUUUUGACAAGUCAGGUAGGACAUCUACUUUGUGCAUGACAAAAGUAAUUUGUCCCCAAAUUGUUGACAGACAGAUUAUUUCACUUAUGAUUCACUGUAUCACAAUUCCAGUGAGUCAGAAGUUCACAUACACUAAGUUGACUGUGCCUUUAAACAGCUUGGAAAAUUCCAGAAAAUUAUGUCAUGGCUUUCGUAGGCUAAUUGACAUCAUUUGAGUCAAUUGGAGGUGUACCUGUGGAUGCAAUUUACAAAUGCCUGAAGGUACCACGUUCAUCUGUACAAACAAUAGUAAGCAAGUAUAAACACCAUGGGACCACGCAGCCGUCAUACCGCUCAAGAAGGAGACACAUUCUGUCUCGUAGAGAUGAAAGUACUUUUGUGCGAAAAGUGCAAAUCAAUCCCAGAACAACAGCAAAGGACCUUGUGAAGAUGCUGGAGGAAACAGGUACAAAAGUAUAUAUCCACAGUAAAACAAGUCUUAUAUCAACAUAACCUGAAAGGCCGCUCAGCAGGGAAGAAGCCACUGCUCCAAAAGCCAGACUAAUGUUUUGCAACUGCACAUGGUGACAAAGAUUGUACUUUUUGGAGAAAUGUCCUCUGGUCAAGCCAAACAAAUGAAACUGUUUGGCCAUAAUGACCAUUGUUAUGUUUGGAGGAAAAAGACGAAGAACACCAUCCCAACCGUGAAGCACAGGGGUGGCAGCAUCAUGUUGUGGGGCUGCUUUGCUGAACGAGGGACUGGUGCACUUCACAAAAUAGAUGGCAUCAUGAGGGAGAGAAAUUAUGGAAGAUCACGUGACCGUCCCUCUGCUCUCGUGUCCCUCCAGGACACCUACACCACCCGAUGUUACAGGAAGGCCAUAAAGAUCAUCAAGGACAUCAACCACCCGAGCCACUGCCUGUUCACCCCGCUAUCAUCCAGAAGGCGAGGUCAGUACAGGUGCAUCAAAGCUGGGACCGA
ensembl:lncRNA